rnacentral:rRNA from 1 species
UACGUAGGGUCCGAGCGUUGUCCGGAAUUAUUGGGCGUAAAGGGCUCGUAGGCGGUUCGUCGCGUCGGGAGUGAAAACUCGGAGCUCAACUCCGAGCCUGCUUCCGAUACGGGCAGACUAGAGGUAGGCAGGGGAGAGCGGAACUCCUGGUGUAGCGGUGGAAUGCGCAGAUAUCAGGAAGAACACCCGUGGCGAAGGCGGCUCUCUGGGACGGUACUGACGCUGAGACGCGAAAGCGUGGGGAGCGAACAGG